rnacentral:ribozyme from 1 species
UGCCCAGCAACUCCUAUCCGUACCUCCUUGUGGUAUCGGCCGGAAACUACGAACAACCUUAGGGAAGCUCGGGUAACCAAUCCCGGUGCGAACUUUGGUCGUAGACUUACAGGAAAGU